CCCUUAGAUGUCCGGGGCCGCACGCGCGCUACAAUGGAUGAAUCAACGCGUCAUCCUGGCCCGAAAGGGUUGGGGAACCGCUGAACCUCAUCCGUGGUUGGGAUUGGGGUUUGUAAUUAUUCCCCAUGAACUAGGAAUUCCAGUAAGCGCGAGUCAUAAGCUCGCGUUGAUUACGUCCCUGCCCUUUGUACACACCGCCCGUCGCUACUACCGAUUGGAUGGUUUAGUGAGAUCCUCGGAUUGGUCACGGCACGGUGGCAACACUGCGUCGGUGUGCCGAGAAGACGAUCAAACUUGAUCAUCUAGAGGAAGUAAAAGUCGUAACA
rnacentral:rRNA from 1 species